GACGAACGCUGGCGGCGUGCCUAAUACAUGCAAGUCGAGCGGAGUGAUGAAGAAGCUUGCUUCUUCUGAUUUUAGCGGCGGACGGGUGAGUAACACGUGGGCAACCUACCUUGUAGAUUGGGAUAACUCCGGGAAACCGGGGCUAAUACCGAAUAAUCCAUUUUGCUUCAUGGCGAGAUGUUGAAAGACGGUUUCGGCUGUCACUACAAGAUGGGCCCGCGGCGCAUUAGCUAGUUGGUAGGGUAAUGGCCUACCAAGGCGACGAUGCGUAGCCGACCUGAGAGGGUGAUCGGCCACACUGGGACUGAGACACGGCCCAGACUCCUACGGGAGGCAGCAGUAGGGAAUCUUCCACAAUGGACGAAAGUCUGAUGGAGCAACGCCGCGUGAGUGAAGAGGGUUUUCGGAUCGUAAAACUCUGUUGUAAGGGAAGAACACGUACGAGAGUAACUGCUCGUACCUUGACGGUACCUUAUUAGAAAGCCACGGCUAACUACGUG
rnacentral:rRNA from 1 species